CACAGAUGCCUCAUGACAGAUGUCUCAUUGAGAGAUAUCCACCUUCUGCACAAGGCAUCCUAACCCGACAAACCUCGCUGAGCAAAUGGAAAUUCUACCAAACCACGAGCAGAUACACUUCAGAAAUUAGCUAAAGUGUGGUUGAUGAAGCCCAGAGUGGUACAACAGAUGGAGGGUAAACACUGACUGAACUGAAAGAUCAUCUGUGCCAAAUAGUGACCAGUUGACCUUGAAAUUCCACAAUGGAACAAUGCCCCUUGAGACAGGGGCAAGGUAAAAUGGAAUUUUGAUGUUAGACGGAUUUCACAAGCACUUU